rnacentral:rRNA from 1 species
AGUGAACGCUGGCGGUAGGCCUAACACAUGCAAGUCGAACGGCAGCACAGUAAGAGCUUGCUCUUACGGGUGGCGAGUGGCGGACGGGUGAGGAAUACAUCGGAAUCUACUUUUUCGUGGGGGAUAACGUAGGGAAACUUACGCUAAUACCGCAUACGACCUACGGGUGAAAGCAGGGGAUCUUCGGACCUUGCGCGAUUGAAUGAGCCGAUGUCGGAUUAGCUAGUUGGCGGGGUAAAGGCCCACCAAGGCGACGAUCCGUGGCUGGUCUGAGAGGAUGAUCAGCCACACUGGAAUUGAGACACGGUCCAGACUCCUACGGGAGGCAGCAGUGGGGAAUAUUGGACAAUGGGCGCAAGCCUGAUCCAGCCAUACCGCGUGGGUGAAGAAGGCCUUCGGGUUGUAAAGCCCUUUUGUUGGGAAAGAAAAGCAGCAGGUUAAUACCCCGCUGUUCUGACGGUACCCAAAGAAUAAGCACCGGCUAACUUCGUG